rnacentral:rRNA from 1 species
AGAGUUUGAUCAUGGCUCAGGACGAACGCUGGCGGCGUGCUUAACACAUGCAAGUCGAACGGUGACGGAGGAGCUUGCUCCUCCUGAUCAGUGGCGAACGGGUGAGUAACACGUGAGCAAUCUGCCCCUGACUCUGGGAUAACCUCGGGAAACCGAAGCUAAUACCGGAUACGAAGCGCGAAGGCAUCUUCAGCGCUUGGAAAGAAUUUCGGUCAGGGAUGAGCUCGCGGCCUAUCAGUUAGUUGGUGAGGUAACGGCUCACCAAGACGACGACGGGUAGCCGGCCUGAGAGGGUGACCGGCCACACUGGGACUGAGACACGGCCCAGACUCCUACGGGAGGCAGCAGUGGGGAAUAUUGCACAAUGGGCGCAAGCCUGAUGCAGCAACGCCGCGUGAGGGAUGACGGCCUUCGGGUUGUAAACCUCUUUUAGCAGGGAAGAAGCGAAAGUGACGGUACCUGCAGAAAAAGCACCGGCUAACUACGUGCCAGCAGCCGCGGUAAUACGUAGGGUGCAAGCGUUGUCCGGAAUUAUUGGGCGUAAAGAGCUCGUAGGCGGUUUGUCGCGUCUGCUGUGAAAACGCGAGGCUCAACCUCGCGCCUGCAGUGGGUACGGGCAAACUAGAGUGCGGUAGGGGAGAUUGGAAUUCCUGGUGUAGCGGUGGAAUGCGCAGAUAUCAGGAGGAACACCGAUGGCGAAGGCAGAUCUCUGGGCCGUAACUGACGCCGAGGAGCGAAAGCGUGGGGAGCGAGCAGGAUUAGAUACCCUAGUAGUCC